GCAGUUUUCUGCUGGCAGGCCAGGCAGAAACAUCACCUGGCUGAAAGGCUGUAUGAAACAUCUUGGAGCCUAAACGUAAUGGAGUUUUAUAUGCUUCAUUAAGGACAUAAUAUGGCCUACAGGAUGUUUUGAACUGGUAGUGAUGCACGGGAAAGAAUAUGGGAUGACUCUUGGAGCCCUGCAUAAGUUUGCUGGACUGGGAAUUAAGCCUAGUUUAAAGUCCUUUGGAGGAGAUCAGCCAACCUGUAAGAGAACAGACUCUUACCUUUAGAAGAGAGAUGAAGACCAUCUCGUCUCAGGAUGUCUCUCUCAUGGAAGUACAGAUCGUGUUUGUAGAAGCCAAAACCCACAUGAUGGCACCAACUCCAGAGCCGCAGGUUGACUUCCCUGAUGCAAGUGUCCUGAUGCUGAUGGUGACCGCUGACCAGAAGACCACCUGUGCCCCCAACUUCCUAAGCCUGGCCCCCAGAGCCCUGUAGUCACUCAUGACAUGGUCUGGACUACUCCUGGCUGCAUCAUUCAUACCCACAUGGACAAGGACCAUGGGAUAGUAAUCAGAGGGCCAGAUGAGGUCCAGAAUUCUCGCAGUGAUGUCCCAGAUCCUGGCUCCGGGUAGGCAGCAAACCUCCUGUGCUGCGGGAUCCAGUCAACAGCUAGGCCUCUCUGUGUCUCUCAGGAGGGAGUUGCCCACCACAAUGACCUGGCGUCUCUUCCUCCAGCUGCUCAGUUGUCACUCAGCCUGCCUGGUGUGUGUUGCAGACAUGUCUUCCCCUACGGCUUCCUCUACUGUAUCAUCCUCCAGUGCUGCUCCAGUGCUUCAUGUCUGUUCCCCAGUUGCGUUGGGGAAGCAGUCACAGCCACAUGCUGUCUAGCUCUGGAGGUGACCGUCCUCCAUUCAGCUGUCCUGGGACUCUCCCAUGAUGUCUCUGUGCUAGGUGUCUGGUCGUGCAGAAAAUUAAAGUAUCCAUGAAUCUCAUCCUUUGCAGCCCUGACCCUUCACAGCCUGCUCACCUCUGCUUGGAGUUCCCUCACCUGCGCCUCCAGGGCCUCAAUCUGGGCACAUGUAGGACAGGAAUGAGAACCCUUGGCCCCCAUGCUACCCCCAGGCCUCAGAGGUCCCACCAGCCAACCCCACCCAGACCAGGGGCCAGGGCACUGCAGACCCAUCCAAGGGACCUGUCUGGCUGGAGGCAGCAGCAGGGCAGGGUCCCUGGCUGCAGUCUGUGUCACCACCCCCACAGUAGCCCCCUUCCUCAUUCACUUACCUGAAGUCUCUGUCAGAAGUUCCCGUGUACUCCUACAUGGUGUAUACUCCUACCCAUGAACUGGCCUGCGAACUGCACCCCUGUUGGCAGUCCGUUUGCUGGCUCCCUGGUCACAGGCUAGCUGGUCACCUGGGGAGGCUCCUUUUAUACCCUUCUGGGCCUGGGCUGACUCAGGCCCACGCAGCAAUCUCACAGCAGUCAGCAAUCCCACAGCAAUCAACACUCACUCAGCAGUCAGUACUCACUCCCAGCUUCUUAGAGCACACCCCCCACCAAACAGUCAGCUAAACUCAAGGUACAGGCAGCUGGAUCACUUACCUUUCCUGGGCAGGAUCUGGUGCC